rnacentral:rRNA from 1 species
CAAUAGCGUAUAUUUAAGUUGUUGCAGUUAAAAAGCUCGUAGUUGGAUUUCGGUUAAGAGCGACCGGUCCGCCGUUUGGUGUGCACUGGUUGGUUUUAACUUCCUGUAGAGGACGUGCUCUGGGUUUAACGACCUGGACUCGGAGUCUACGUGGUUACUUUGAAAAAAUUAGAGUGUUCAAAGCGGGCUUACGCUUGAAUAUUUCAGCAUGGAAUAACACUAUAGGACUCCUGUCCUAUUUCGUUGGUCUCGGGACGGGAGUAAUGAUUAAGAGGAACAGUUGGGGGCAUUCGUAUUUCAUUGUCAGAGGUGAAAUUCUUGGAUUUACGAAAGACGAACUUCUGCGAANGNAUUUGCNAAGGAUGUUUNCAUUA